rnacentral:sRNA from 1 species
UGGCUAUUAUGUGGGAUGUGAGCUGGAGGUGAGGAGAACGGGGAAUGGCAGGUGGGGGCACGUAGAAACUCCAUAGGUUCCCAGGAGACAAAGCCAGUGAUGGAUUCUGGACUGGGCAGUGUUGAUAAAAUUUGCAGAUGGACUGACUGGCUGGCUGCUGGGAUAACAAAUACAAGGAAGGAUGAUUAAAUUUCUUGGUUUGAGCAGUUGGGGAUUCUGUGUUUCCAAAUAGGGGAGAGUGGAUGAGGAACAGGCUGAGGAGGAAACAUCUUGGGCUCUCCUUUGAACUGGGACAUUUAGAACUGUGACAGGAGAAGGGAAUACAGAUUAGUUGGAUUUUGCACCAGUGCCACAUUCUUGGGAACUCUCUGAGCUAGAAAUCGAGACUUGGAAGCAAUUGGUCACGGGACUGCGUGUGGCUAGCUAAGGGGAGAAUGCAGGCAGAAGACAAAAGAACCCAGAUACAGGGCUCUCUACACAUUACAAGAGGCAGAUGUCAAGGAGAAAAAGGUGCUACAUCCCUUCCUGCUCCCACAUCGCAAAUCAACUUCACAACACCAGUGACCAAUAAAGUAGGAGAGGCGCUGAGAGCAGAGCGUCACGGAAGAUAAAAAUGCUGUGAUCCAGGGAGCAGAUGGGUGACAUUGAGUAAGAUGAGAUGGCCACAGAAAAGGGACCAUCAGAUGUGAGACCAUGCAGUCAACUGUGCAGGAUUGCAGGAGUGGAGCCCUCUGAUACAGGGAGCUGCACUGUGGCCAAACAUCGCUAUUCCUUCAGGUUUGGAAACAAAUCGAGACUGUUUUCUUCCUGAGAAGCAAACACUUCAGAUAACUAGUGGCGGUUCUUAGAAAGAAUGUGAAUGGAUCUCCUCGCCUCCAAAGCUAUCUGGAAGCCUGGAGAGUAUAUUUAUGAGGAAAGAGGGUUCACAACGGCUGGAAACUCAACUCAAGGCCUUAUACACACUGCAUGUGCUUUUCUAUUGAGCCACAUCCCAGUCCUUUGAUUUUGAUUUUGUGAUAAAAUUGCAACACAUUGAUCCAGGCUGUUUAGAACUCACUGUGUCAACCAGGUCUGGUCUUGAAUUUGGGAUUAUAGGAACCAUACCCAGCAAUCACUAAGCCAUGGAUUUUAAACCUGGAAGUGGCUCAUGAGAGAAUAUGUUGGUGCUUUGAUAUUCGAGUGGUAAUAACUAAUCUUCAUAACAUGUUGUGGAUUGUACUCAUAUCAGAAUUCUGUGUUAUUCUGAAGCCAGUGUAAUUCAAUUAAAAUUGCAUUCAGUUCAACUAGCCAUCACUGAGCCCCUGUGGGAGGUGCUUAGAAAGACAAAUAACACUUGUUCCCUGCUAUUGUGGACCUUACAGCCUAACUAACAGUAAGAGAAGAACCAAAAGUCGUUCAUUCGGCUACCCUUCGAGAGACACUGUAUUUCCAUUACAAUCACCAUGGAAGCAUAGCGAUGUUUUAUACGUACUCAGCCCAGGGAGUGGCACAGUUAGAAGGUGUGGCUCUGUUGGAGUAGGUGUGUCGCUAUGGUCGUGGACUAUAAGACCCUCAUCCUAGCUGUCUGGAAUUCGGCCUUCUGCUAGAAGCCUUCAGAAGAACAUGCAGAACUCUCAGCUCCUCCUGCACCAUGCCUGCCUGGAUGCUGCCAUGCUCCUGCCUUGAUGA